UACGUAGGGCGCAAGCGUUGUCCGGAAUUAUUGGGCGUAAAGAGCUCGUAGGCGGCUUGUCACGUCGGAUGUGAAAGCCCGGGGCUUAACCCCGGGUCUGCAUUCGAUACGGGCUAGCUAGAGUGUGGUAGGGGAGAUCGGAAUUCUCGGUGUAGCGGUGAAAUGCGUAGAUAUCAGGAGGAACACCGGUGGCGAAGGCGGGUCUCUGGGCCGAAACUGACGCUGAGGAGCGAAAGCGUGGGGAGCAAACAGG
rnacentral:rRNA from 1 species